rnacentral:rRNA from 1 species
UACGUAGGUUCCGAGCGUUGUCCGGAUUUAUUGGGCGUAAAGCGAGCGCAGGUGGUUUAUUAAGUCUGGUGUAAAAGGCAGUGGCUCAACCAUUGUAUGCAUUGGAAACUGGUAGACUUGAGUGCAGGAGAGGAGAGUGGAAUCCCAUGUGUAGCGGUGAAAUGCGUAGAUAUAUGGAGGAACACCGGUGGCGAAAGCGGCUCUCUGGCCUGUAACUGACACUGAGGCUCGAAGGCGUGGGGAGCAAACAGG